AGAGUUUGAUCCUGGCUCAGAAUCAACGCUGGCGGCGCGCUUAACACAUGCAAGUCGAACGAGAAAGUGGAGCAAUCCAUGAGUAAAGUGGCGUACGGGUGAGUAACACGUGGGUAAUCUACCUCUGGGUGGGGAAUAACCCUGGGAAACCGGGGCUAAUACCGCAUAAGCCUGGAAAGGGAAAGGCGAAAGUCGCCGAGAGAGGAGCCCGCGGCCGAUUAGCUAGUUGGUAGGGUAAAGGCCUACCAAGGCGAUGAUCGGUAGCCGGCCUGAGAGGGCACACGGCCACACUGGCACUGAAACACGGGCCAGACUCCUACGGGAGGCAGCAGUGGGGAAUCUUGCACAAUGGGGGCAACCCUGAUGCAGCGACGCCGCGUGAGCGAUGAAGCCCUUCGGGGUGUAAAGCUCUUUCGGCUGGAACGAUGAUGACGUACCAGCAGAGAAGCCCU
rnacentral:rRNA from 1 species